rnacentral:rRNA from 1 species
UACGUAGGGGGCUAGCGUUGUCCGGAUUUAUUGGGCGUAAAGAGCGUGUAGGCGGCCAGGUAGGUCUGCUGUGAAAACUCGAGGCUCAACCUCGAGACGCCGAUGGAAACCAUCUGGCUAGAGUCCGGAAGAGGAGAGUGGAAUUCCUGGUGUAGCGGUGAAAUGCGCAGAUAUCAGGAAGAACACCCGUGGCUAAGGCGGCUCUCUAGUACGGUACUGACGCUGAGACGCGAAAGCGUGGGGAGCGAACAGG